ensembl:snoRNA SNORD29 Small nucleolar RNA SNORD29
GUUCCAUGAUGAAUCAAACUAGCUCACUAUGACUUACACAAUGAAGAGUGAAAU